rnacentral:rRNA from 1 species
GACGAACGCUGGCGGCGUGCUUAACACAUGCAAGUCGAGCGGUAAGGCCCUUUCGGGGGUACACGAGCGGCGAACGGGUGAGUAACACGUGGGUGACCUGCCCUCAGCUCUGGGAUAAGCCUGGGAAACCGGGUCUAAUACUGGAUAUGACUCCAUGACGCAUGUUGUGGGGUGGAAAGCCUUGUGCGGCUGAGGAUGGGCCCGCGGCCUAUCAGCUUGUUGGUGGGGUGANGGCCUACCAAGGCGACGACGGGUAGUCGGCCUGAGAGGGCGACCGGCCACACUGGGACUGAGACACGGCCCAGACUCCUACGGGAGGCAGCAGUGGGGAAUCUUGCGCAAUGGGCGAAAGCCUGACGCAGCGACGCCGCGUGAGGGAUGACGGCCU